rfam:Bacillus sp. CHD6a contig14, whole genome shotgun sequence.
AACCCUUUUAAAUGCAGUCCCGUGAGGCUGGCAAAGGGGUACAUUGGUUUUAGAAUUCGCUGCUGGCGAAUCUUCCUGAAACCUCUCUACCUCUUUGUGUCAUCACGCUGCGCACAAAGAGUUUUUUUAU